CAACAAGACCAGCUCGUGGCAAAGGUCAACUACCUCAGCAGCAGGAUGAACAGCACCGGGGCCAGUCGUUGAGAUGCCUGACAAUAUUAAUCUCCCCUUGGAACACCUGGAGGCAGUGGAGGCAUUUGAGGUGUUUUUAAAAUAACCCUCAAACUACCCAGCUCGACAGAGAGUAAUUGCUUCUUUGGCCACAAUUGGAGGCCAGGAUUUGAAGAGGGUGACUUGGAACAUUCUUGGCCGGCUAUACACAGACAACGUGUCCCACCAAAUCAACUGGAAAGGUGUGAACAACAAAAAGGCCUUCAGCCAGAUGUCGGCAAAGAGCUUGCUUUUCAGUGCUGUGAGGAAAAAUGCUAUCACAAAGUCUGUCACCGAUGCGGAGGUCACCAAGCACACCAUCAGGUGGUUUAACCUGGCCAUGGAUCGGGCGACAAAGAGACGAGGAGGUGUCCGUCCCCCAUCUAGUCCCUCA